ACUUCUCUGCUUCUGCUCAUAACAGAGACACUAAGUAGAAUACAUUAUAUGUUGGAGAAUGACAAGUUCCAUAGAGGUAUUUUGGCCUUGUUAACACAAAGCAGUGUACAUGUGGGGGUACCGUUUGUUUGGAAAACUGCAAAUCAUUUAAGCCAAACAUCAUUAUUCAAGAUUCAAACAAAGAAUUGUUUAAACUGGUGGGUUUGUCCAUGGCAUCAAUUUUAGUGCUUUAUUUCCCUUUUUACUGAGUUAUUUGCCAAAUGUGCAAUUACCUCUGUA
rnacentral:misc_RNA from 1 species